ensembl:lncRNA LOC102554372 uncharacterized LOC102554372
GGUGAACAGAGUAGCCGAGGAGCCAGGGCCUCUUGUAUCCUGUCAUCUGCCACCCUCAAGCUGUCCCUCCACUAGCCCACUUCAAGGAUCCCUGAACAGGAAGGAAAGCAGUUAACAAGUGUCUGGACCAGUGGAGAAGACGCAGGCCUCUGAGCCACAGCGAGGACAAAUCCUGGGACAUUGUCAACAGGAAGAAGCAUGAGCGUCCGUCUGCCAUGAGACGGACGGGUCCUGGAGGAAAGAGACCCAAAAAGAAG